rnacentral:rRNA from 1 species
UACGGAGGGUGCAAACGUUGCUCGGAAUCAUUGGGCGUAAAGCGCACGUAGGUGGCGACGUAAGUCGGGUGUGAAAGCCCCGGGCUCAACCUGGGAAUUGCAUUCGAGACUGCAUUGCUGGAGUACGGAAGAGGAAGGCGGAAUUCCCGGUGUAGCGGUGAAAUGCGUAGAUAUCGAGAGGAACACCUGCGGCGAAGGCGGGUUGCUGGGCUGACACUGACGCUGAGGCGCGAAAGCCAGGGGAGCGAACGGG